rnacentral:rRNA from 1 species
AAAUGCAAGUCGAGCGAGCUCUUCGGAGCUAGCGGCGGACGGGUUAGUAACGCGUGGGAACGUGCCCUUCACUGCGGAAUAGCCACUGGAAACGGUGAGUAAUACCGCAUACGCCCUUCGGGGGAAAGAUUUAUCGGUGAAGGAUCGGCCCGCGUUAGAUUAGAUAGUUGGUGGGGUAACGGCCUACCAAGUCUACGAUCUAUAGCUGGUUUUAGAGGAUGAUCAGCAACACUGGGACUGAGACACGGCCCAGACUCCUACGGGAGGCAGCAGUGGGGAAUCUUGGACAAUGGGCGCAAGCCUGAUCCAGCCAUGCCGCGUGAGUGAUGAAGGCCUUAGGGUCGUAAAGCUCUUUCGCCAGAGAUGAUAAUGACAGUAUCUGGUAAAGAAACCCCGGCUAACUCCGUGCCAGCAGCCGCGGUAAUACGGAGGGGGUUAGCGUUGUUCGGAAUUACUGGGCGUAAAGCGCACGUAGGCGGAUCAGAAAGUUGGGGGUGAAAUCCCGGGGCUCAACCCCGGAACUGCCUCCAAAACUCCUGGUCUUGAGUUCGAGAGAGGUGAGUGGAAUUCCGAGUGUAGAGGUGAAAUUCGUAGAUAUUCGGAGGAACACCAGUGGCGAAGGCGGCUCACUGGCUCGAUACUGACGCUGAGGUGCGAAAGUGUGGGGAGCAAACAGGAUUAGAUACCCUGGUAGUCCACACCGUA